CCCUCCCUGGGUUUUCCCCGGAAACCGUCCCCUAAUCAGAGGCAGGAGAUCCAGGUAGAGGCUGCUGCACGGAUUCUGGAUCCUCUGGCGCCCGGCUCCAGAUGAAAUGACCCAGCAUUUGGCCCAUGACUCCACCCUUCACUUCGUCUCCCAGAAAGAGAACCAAAAGGAUCGGCUCUGACAUCCUGUAGCCAUGUCAUCUGCUCUGCUGGGUUGCAGGGACCAAGGUGGAUCUCCAGGAUCAUGUGUCCUCCAGGACAAGUGGCUUCAGGAGUGGGGGAUGUCACGUACCUGAAUCAAUAUUUCCACUAAGCCCCUAAGUCCUGCUCUGAGUGGGGCAUUGUGACAAGUGUGACCAUGGGGGUAGUUGGAAACUUCUUAGAGUUGGACAAACCCAUUAGGACUCAUAUCCACUACCACGGUUGAGAUAGAAAAGAGUUCCAUCACCCCCAGAAGUUUCCCGGUGCCCCUCAAAAGCCAGCCCCGGCCAACACUGAUCUGGGACUUCUGGCAAGAUGGCUUAGCAGAGGUGCCAGACGGCUUCCCACCCACAAAGAGGGACCUCAGCAAGGAAUCAACAGUUUCUGACAAGAACAUUUAGAGGAGAACGCUGGAGUGCCAUGCGGAUAAUAUGGAGAAGCUGUGGAUCGUGGCCUUAUAAAGAAGGGAGGGAAGUGCCUUGUGUCUUCCACGAUAGGGAAAAGGCAAGCGGGAGGACCCCAGUGAUCCCCACUGACGCCACAGACACCUGAGGUUUCACCCGGGGAGUCCUGAGCCCCGAACCCAGCUGGGGAGCUGACAUGAGUGUCCACCUCUACCUUGGCCCAGAGAGGGAGCCCAGUCCAUGCUGCACCUUCUUUCAACCUGGCUGAUGCUGCAUGGCGCCAUUUUGAAGCUAACCCCCCCCCCCCCGCCCCCAUGUCCCUAGCCCUGCUGCAUGCCCCACACCACUCCCACUCUGGGCCUGCUGGAGGAGCUCCACCCCACAUAACCCUCAGGAUCUGACAGGUGCCCUGGGCCCACCAGAGCGGCUCUGACCCCACCCAGCCCCCAGAAACUGAUGGGUGCCCCGUACCCACAGCAAAACACACCAUGCCAGAGUCACAGGCACACCCACACCCACAGGCAUCACUGAUUUCAGAGGAGAAGCGGCAGGAGGACUAUACCACCAUGCCCACCCAGAACUGCCACCAACGUAGCCUACUCAGCAGCACCCAAGACACAUCUCCAGGGGAAAAGUCUCACUACAACCUGUGGUUUUGCACCAUGAUGUGAGCAACUUCUGCCACACACUCCCCACCAUGAUGUACUGACUUGCCACAGGCUCAAAGGCCAAGGGACAAGUGAUGAAGUUUCAAAUCCUCUGAAACUGUGAGCCAAAAUAAACCUUUCCUCCUUA